UACAGAGGGUGCAAGCGUUGUUCGGAAUUAUUGGGCGUAAAGCGCGUGUAGGCGGCUUUGCAAGUCGGGUGUGAAAUCCCUCGGCUUAACCGAGGAAGUGCGCCCGAAACUGCAGAGCUUGAGUACCGGAGAGGAUGGUGGAAUUCCCCAAGUAGAGGUGAAAUUCGUAGAUAUGGGGAGGAACACCGGUGGCGAAGGCGACCAUCUGGACGGAUACUGACGCUGAGACGCGAAAGCGUGGGUAGCAAACAGG
rnacentral:rRNA from 1 species